rnacentral:lncRNA from 1 species
UUCUCCAUUUCCGAGAAGUCAGUCCUCAUCAUGAAUCACAUGCAUCAUGAGACAUCAUUUUUUUCUAUCCUAUACAUGAGAAAAAUAUGUAUCUAAUGACUUCAUAAUCCAAUUCUACACAAUAGACAUGCACACCUUCGUGCAUUUAAUCACGAUCUAGGAUAACUUAUGUGUAUCAUGAAACCAGGAUCCCACUCACAUGGAUCCAAAGUUCAUCAAAUAGACUAAUUGGAUUGUUGCUAUUUGGUACAAGUACCUUGACAUGCAUGUCACUCCUUAUGAAAAUUAGAACCACCCUAUAAAAUGACUACCAGAGCAUACAACUGAUGGCGAGUGAA